rnacentral:rRNA from 1 species
CUACUAUCAACAUUGUUAUUGAGGAAGCUCCAACCAACUGGACUUUGAUUAUCAUCAUUAUUGUGGUGGUGGUGAUCGUGGUGAUUGCAAUUAUUGUUGUUAUUGUUCUGGUCUCUAAGAAGAGCAAGAAGAUACAGAGAAGAUGCCAAAGUCUGCUGCGAAGUCUUCUGCAAAGGCUGCUCCAGCCAAGACAGAUGCAGUAAGACAAAGACAGCUGUGAAGGUUUAAAUGUACUUGUUGUUUAAUUUGUUUGUUAGAAAGCAGUAUUGUUUUCUUGAUGGAGUGUGGGGUUGAUGAACGAGUAGCUAAGUGGUUGUCUG